GGGAUUCGAACUGCCGACCUUUCUGAUCAACAAGCAUCUUAGCCACUGUGUCCCUUUAUCCUACCUUCUUCUAAAACCUGCUGCUGAAACUCUUAUAACACUUGGCCACAGAUUUAAGCCAGUGAUCUCCACCCGAAUCUUUGCUCUAAACAAAUAAUUACAUUACUCCAUCUUUUUAAAGUUGCUGUUACCGAAUUAUAAGCAAACACAUCUGCCACCCGCUUAGAGAUCAAGGUUUCAAAGACCGAGUAAAUGGAAUGCAUCAGAAAAAUCAAAAGGAUUGUAUUGAAAUGGGACACAGAAAAUGCGCUAUCAAAAAGUAGGAUAAAAUCCAAGCUUCCGAGGGGUGGAGCUGAGGUCAACUCAGAAGGACAAAAUGCAUUCAAGAGGCCACCACUAGCAUAGCCAAAGGAACGGGACCCACUGCCCUGAAGCAAAAUGGUGUGGAUAUGUCUGUGAGAGGGGAAAACAUUGGAAGGAGGAGAGAUUUUACACAUGUUCUGCAAAGAUAAUAUGCAAUGUGGGAGUUAAUACUCAGAAGACAGGUGGAAGAAUUAUCCAGCAACUGCCAAGGACAUCAAGGCAAGCAUUACAAGAUGUUUUAAAAGUCAUGGCCCCAAGAUCAUAGAUUCAGUCCACAAAAUUUUAU